CAACAAUCGCCCUUUUCACCAGGCGCUGCUGAUUCGCUGCUGAGAAGUUCUGCCAGGUGAUUUGCGCGAGUCACACCUGCGAUUUGAGUCACACCUGUUACGGCUUAAUUACUCGCGCAUGCUCGGUGGAUUUACCACGCACAGCAGGAGUUCCAGAUGACUGGAGGAUGUCUGCUGAUGUGAUCUCCUAAAAGGAAGGAUGUUUGUUCCAGUCCCACGAUGACUCACUGCUUUCUUUCUGCCAUUUGACCUCUGACACUCUCACCCUGACCUCCGACCUCCAGAGGAACCAUUGUGUGUGAGAGGAAGAUGGACGCCUCCUCAGCCUCAGAGAGAGCCCCACGCUACAGCGGCAGGUGUGCAGGGGGGUGUUGGUGCGAAUGUAAUAUUACCAGGAGCUGUUAUUGCCAAGGCGCUGUAUGGCGGGAACAGGAGCCCUUAUCGCCAUGGCGCUGUAUGGCGGGAACAGGAGCCGCUAUCGCCAUGGCGCUGUAUGGCGGGAACAGGAGCCCUUAUCGCCAUGGCGCUGUAUGGCGGGAACAGGAGCCCUUAUCGCCAUGGCGCUGUAUGGCGGGAACAGGAGCCCUUAUCGCCAUGGCGCUGUAUGGCGGGAAUGUAUGGCCAUGCAACGUGUGGGGCAGUUUGCCAUUGUCUGAGGCAGUGGCCUUUUACACUUACAGACCAGCUGUGGCCAGCUCUGUUCUGGAAGCCGUCGUUUCUGUUUGAGGAAUGAUUAGUCUCUUUGCAUCAUUAAUAUUCUUAUUUUGUUUUGCAUUUAGAAGCAGAGAUUAAAACUAUGGGGGGGAUGGAGGGGAGGGGGGUCAUUUUUGUUUUAUAAGCCCUUUUUUUGUUGUAUGUAAGUCCCGGUGUGGAAGAAGAGUGGGGAAACUGGCACAGCUAAAGAAACCCACUAAAUAUAUAAAUAUAGCCCUUCCACGGCUCCUUGAUUGUUCUCAGCGAAUUGUUGCUGUUUUUCUGAAAGACUGAUUGUUUAAUAAACAGAACUAGGCAUGUCACA